rnacentral:siRNA from 1 species
CAUUAACCAGCCACCACCAAAGC